rnacentral:lncRNA from 1 species
CACACACACACACACUCACACCCAUCUAUUACAGGAGGGGAAAUGGACCGGGACAGUUUCCAUCCGACUUACACCUGACCUUUGACCCUACAGCUGUGUGUAUGUGAGCAAGUGUGAGUGCAUGUGUGUGUGUGUGUGUGUGUGUGUUUAUUGGUGAGAAAUCCCUCCAGCUGGAGAGCUCACACCCGGCACACAUGGAGUACAUUUACACACACACACACACACACACACACACACACACACACACACACACACACAGAUGGAUGACAUUUACACACAGUGUAACUGAUAUUGUAAAUACCUUGAUCAUAUUACCGUUAUAUAACAGGAUAUGUUCACACACACACACACACACACACACACACACACACACACACACACACACACACACCCUGAGGUCAGUGACUUUAAAACCUCUCUCUCUCUCUCUCUCUCUCUCUCUCUCUCUCUCUCUCUCUGUAUGUUCUUUAUAUAAACGUGUUUCAGAAGAAGAAGAGGGCGGAUCUCCUCCUUGGUGGGCGGAGUCCAGGUGAACGACUCUAACCAGGUAACAUCAGCUGACGUCACUGCAGUGAACCGUUCAGGAGCCCUGUCCGUCUUUUUGUUUGUUUUUGGUUUAAAGGAAAAUAAAACUUUUAAAAAACUCCAAAAGUUACUGAAGGUUUUAUUAUUUAAACAGAUAAACUCACUUUAGGACACUGCCUCUAGUGGACAGUUGGGGGACUGCAGUUUUAAGGGGUGUCAUGACGCUUGGUGGUGUCAUUCGCCCAUCAUGGAGGUUAAUUAUUGACACACACACACACACACACGGUUUAAAGUAUUUUUUGACUCUGUUAUUUUUAGUGAAAACUUGACGAUAGAAUCUGAAGUCCGAACUUUCGUCGUUUUUUAUGAAACUGUAUUUCGUUGUUUGAUCGUUUUAACACACCGUGACUCUCUUGACAUGACUGAACACACACUUUGUGAACUUCUCCCCACAGAUGAACACACUCGCUCUCCUGAAGUGUCGGACAAUAAGCCCUCAGUGUGGUCUGACAGGCUGGUCAGGCUGAUAAAACACAGGACACUCUGUGAUGAGACUCACAGCUGUUGGAUGUUAAAUAUUACAGCCUCUAUUGUCUUCAGACAUCAUCACCGCCCGCCUCACGGCGAACACUGUGUGCUCCAAUCAGAUUAUUAAACACAACCAUUCCUGCCUGACGCUCCUCAGAGACAAACGUCCGUAAAAUUGUCAUUAAAAUGAGAAAAAUCCUGAAGAAGCUUUCAGGAAAACUGAAUCACUGAGAACCAGAGAGAGUUUUUCAGGAGAAGUUCCUCAGGAUGACUUUUAUUCAGAGUCUGAAAAGUUCUCCUACAUCUAAGUGUUGACCGCUCCUCAUCAUAAGAGCUCUGCUGCCAAUUAAUGAGGAAAUCUGAGAUCCAAAAACACACUGUGGACGCAGAUGUUGCUCCUAAAUCUGGAGAUAUUGUCUAAAACUGAGGAUGCAGCAUCUAGGAUUUCCAGUUCUUUGUUGAAAGGACAGUUGGACUUACUCCAACUGUCCUUUCAACAAAGAGAGUCUAACAUCCUGAUCGUCUCCUAAAAGGUCGUAUCCUCCGAUCGUAGCUGAUCGUAACCAUUCAAGUUAACGUGUCAAUUUACACCGACUUCUUUCCGUUCCUCUGCGGAUCGCCGGACUCCUCAGCUGAUCAUAAGAGUUCUAUUUUUUCUGGACGCCGGAGCAUGGCGGAUAAAUUCAGCACAGAUGAACCCGUGCUGGAAAGGAAGUCGGGCACAGACACAAAAUAAAACAUCCGGCUUCUUUUCAAAAUAAAACAUCCGGCUUCUUUUCAAAAUAAAACACUCCGUGUUUCAGGAGGAUCGUAUUUCACACCAUGCAAACGGGCGGAGACGAACAAGGGAAAAGUUUUUAGACGUCAUUUCACCCCGAUGACACCAUGGAUGAGGAGAUGCUGAUUCUAGAAGUCUAGAAGUAGAUUUCCUCCUCUGGAAGGACACAAUCUACUGCUUAUAUGUCUAUGUGUCUGUCUUUACAGAGACGACUCGGUAUCGUGAGAUUGAACGUGAAUCUGCGGGUUCUUGUGAGUUCUCCUGAUUCCUGCUGUCUGUAAUCCACCACAACAUGGCGGACGGCAAAAAUCGCCAUCCUUUCGGGAUCGGAGCCGUUCCAGAUUUGGUGAAAAUUGGGGGUAAGGUCUUCUAUAAUCUGUGUAACUCAGUCAGAACAGGUCUGGAUCCUUCUUCUCCUCAGGUUCACCUCCUCGGUGUCGACUCUCCUGCUGAUGAAGAUCCCGUCUCUUCAUGGUUUUGUUUGUAGGUUCUGUCCGCUGCAGUCGUGUCUAAACAGUAAAGAAAUCGGAUCACGCCGGAUACAGACACACUGACAGACUGAGCGAUCAUGUCCUACAGGUUAAUUCUCCUGAAUCCAGAUCUGCUGAUGAGUUCACAGUUUGAUAUUUCAGUUGAUGAUCUUGUCAAUAAAAACGUUCAGAACUCUGAAACCUCCUCAUCUGCUCGGAGCUCUUUGACUGACAGCUGACUCUCUCUCACUCCGAGUAAAAUGUCGACCUCCUUUUCUUGGACUCACAACAAAGACGUUAGGGUUAUUUUUUUAAAGUUGAGGGUAUUAAUGAAAGCAAUAAAACUUUAUUUAUACAGCAGUUUUCUGACAGCAGGAGCAGCUCAGAGUGAUUUACAACAAAGAAGGAGGAGAGCGAAUCAAAGAGGAGAAAACGUCUGCAGGAAAUGAAUGUAAAUACCCCAAAUGUGACUUUAGUUAACCUGUGUGUGUGUGUGUGUGUGUGUGUGUGUGUGUGUUGAAAGCAGAUCUGGAUUUUAUUUGUCUGUCUCCUGCUUCUUAUUGUCCCUCCGAGUGUGAAAUGAUUUUCCUGAUUUCCUCUCGGCGGCGUCGGCUCGUCAUCCUGCCCGACGUCUGCAGGACAGACUCUGACCUCCUGACCUUUGACCUCCCAGCACUUACACUGGUGAACUUCAGGAGGACAUGUUCGGUAAAACUUCGGUUUACUCCCUUCGAAUAAAAACGACCACAUUUAGAAACCGACGCCGAUCUGUCACCAAAGCGUCUCUGCCGGCUGCCCGGGGCCCGUCGUGCCCUCGGUGUGGUCUGACAGGCUUGUCAGGCUGAUAAAACACAGGACACUCUCUGAUUGGAUCCAGCUGUUCGAUCCAAAGAUGACAGCCUCUUUUGUCUUCUGUUCAAACUGUCUAUUGUGUCGACCGUCCCCCGAGCUCCGGGUUCACUCGCUCUCAAACUUUAGGUUUGAUUCUCUUUAGUUCAUCGUUCUCAGAGUCAAAGUGAACCCGCUGACUUUUCUCUUUUAUUAUAUUACAGUAUAGAACGCCGCUCUGAUCCGAUUGGAGCGGGGAAUCCCCCCCGGAGGAGGAGCUGGUGGAAGUGUCUGGGGUGAGGGUCAUCUGGGCUUCCCUCCUGAAGCUGCUGCCCCCGCGACCCGGACCAAGAUGAAGCGGAAGAAAAUGACGGCGAAGAAACGACGGCGACGACAUUAAAGAACAUAAACGAAUCAGUAUGUCACUAAAUAAACUUCUACAGUCUAACUCUUCAUUUUUAAAAUGCGAUCAAUCACAUUAUCGUUCAUAGUUAAGUCGUGUUUAAUCGAACAUCGGCUGUAAGUGUAACUUAAAGGUGUAUUUUUCACGUAUUUGACCCUCUUUAAAAAUGGGAGUCAAAGAGUAAGACAAAAAAACACAGAGUUUAAAUCAUCCCAGAUUCCAAAGUUUUCACUGAAAUACUCGCCGUGUCGUCCAGAUGAAACACGAUUAUUCAGCGUCGUCUGUCUGGAACUAAAAGACGUUGUUUCUGUUGAAGCUAAGCUAGUUUUUUUUUUCCCCUUUAGCUGUUUGUGUUUGAGCUAAGCUAGGCUAACCAUGUCAGAGCUUACAGAGCAGACUUCGCCGUCACAGUUAAAACGCACCAUGUGUAAUGAAACUGCACGGCUCCCAUGAGCCUUUGCAUCAGGAAGCAGCGUCUGGAUGAGCUUCAGCUGUUUGUGUGUGUGUGUGUGUGUGUGUGUGUGUGCACGCCAUAUAUUGGAGUGUUUGGAUGAGUGUGUGUGUUGUCUGAAGUGCUGCCACUGGCGGACGGGUGUGUUCUGUUUACAAUGCACCAUGGGAAAUUAGGGGCGUGAUGCUAUCUGGGAUGACUCUGUGUGUGUGUGUGUGUGUGUGUGUGUGUGUGUGUGUGUGUGUGUGUGUGUGUGUGUGUGUGUGUGUGUGUGUGUGUGUGUGUCUCAGCAGCUGUGUGUGGACAGUAGAGAAAUGUCAGGGUGCGGGUGUGGACGGAUGAGAGAAUCCUCCAUGUUUUCUUCUUCUCUCUGUUUGUUCUCGUCUCUCACUCACCACCUUGUUUUUCAGUUCCUCAGAUUUGGAUCAACAUCGUCUUCACAAAUAUUCAACUUUUAACCGAAUCUCUGAAUUCUGAGGAUAAAUUUGAAGUUGUUGUAUCUUUACUGCAGUUUAACAGCUGAUUACUAACAGAGUUUGUCCUGAAAAAUUAAAAUAGCAUCAAUGAUUUCAGGAUAAAGUCACGGUCGACGAUCUGAGCUUCAGUUAAAAAAAAAAACUGAGCUGUUGAGGCAGAUUUGAAAAAGUGUCCAACCUUCCGACAGAAGAUCCUACGCUAGCUUCAAACAGGAUCCACCAUGUUGGAUUGUUAGUGACUAGCGGCAGUAAACGCCAGCUGUGCUAGCGAGCGCCAUCUGCAGCUGCCUGGACAGCUACCAUGUCGACAUCGCAGAGACCCGAUGUUUAUCCAAGUUAGAUUCCUCGCUUGGUCACAUUUCCUCUUUGACGCCGCCCUUUUGCGUUUUCCUCCUACUUUUGGCGGUGUGGCGAGCAGAAGUGUUUGUUUUUUGCGUCCUUCUCCAUCACAGCUCCUGUAGCUAAGCUGCUACUUUUAGCCGCUCAGAGCCCCGAGGAGGGCCGGGAGAGUGGGAGGGGACGAGUCUGAACUACGGGAGAGGGGUGUGUCGAAUACAACGAGGGGAUUGGAGCAGGAGAUUGACCAAUAGGAGCUGUCCAGGACGGAUGGCUCCCAUUGGUCAAUGCACCUGAUAGGGUGAACUGAUUUUUUCCGAUCUUUUUUCUCUUCACUUUGUGGAGAUCGCACUAUAGGACCAUGAUCGCCAUGGAAACGAGGUUCAAAAGUCUAAUAGUUUGACUUUAAAUAAAAGUUUAAAACUAAACAGACUGAGUUCAAAAUAACUCUUCAGUUUACAGACAAAAGUGUUUUUUUAGGUCUAUGACAGUCGGCCCUGAGUGAACUAUCACCUCGACUGUUAAUAUAAGAAGUCCAAACAUCUGCAGUUCCUCCAGUGUCCACUAGAGGCUGUCUCCCAAAGUGAGCCAAUCCCCAUAGAGCUCCAUGUAAAAAUGUCCAAUCAUAAAUAAACAUGUUUACAGACUGGAACAAAAACACUUCAGGUCUCUAAACUUCAUUUGAAAAACUACAGACUGAAUUUAUACUAAAGUUAUAAAUGAAUCUGAUAAAACCAGAUCCUUAGAGAGACCCUCACAGUCUGCUGCAAACAUCGUUUUCUGGAUACAGCAGCAGGUUAUUUCAGUUUUCUGCAGUGAAUUCUGGUCUUUUCUAAACUCCUGCAGCUGAUGAAAUGAUGUAAACGUUUGCAUGUUGACGAUGAUAAAAAUAAAUCAAAAGAUCCAAACUUUGGCGUUUCAUCCUCAGACGGUGAAAACAUGUUCGGUGCAUCAGAUCAUCUCUGCACUCGGGUUUGUUAAUACGAGUGAAUCAUUGGCUCUGUUUGUUCUGUGUUAAUGCACGUUACAAAACACAGAUGUGGAGGGUGAAAUCGAGGAUCACAUGAGGUCAGCAGAGAGCAGACGGAGGAGCAGGGCGGUCAGAUGUUUUCUUCGACAUGAUGUUUUCCUCUGGAAACGAGGAGGGAAUCCCCCAAACGGCCCAAAUGAAACAUGUCUGCCAAAUAAAGGAAAAAUCUGUUACUGUUUGUGAAUGAAUCAAAGAGAGGAACAAACUCCCUCGGUCUGAAAGUUUUCCUCCGCUACAGCUGCUGUAAUAACCUCCAUCAGCGACUGAAAUCAAUCAAAGAAACACUCCAAUCAUCAAAUCUCUCCGUUUGUUUUCUCUCAAUCAAACCUGCUCCACAAUCAUUUUGUGAUGGUCAAUUUAAAGUCAUGAAGAGAGAAAAUGCACCAGAUUUUAACGCACUGAAACCGCCAACACACGCUGAAGACCACCGCAGGACCAGGAGAGUCUGCAGAAGGGUUUUCAGAUCAUAGACGGAACAAUCAAAAGGUCUGAACGAUCAAUAACAGACUUUUAUUUUGGAAAUCCUGGACUCUGCAUCCUCCUCUCUAACGGUUCUCAACUGGUCUCACUCUGGGACCCACAAUUUCCCAUGAUCCUUCAGUCACGACCCAUUUUUAUAGAAUUCAAACCAAGAACAUUUAUUUUUUAUUUAUAAGAAAAACCUUUAAAGACUCAAAUCGAGUGUUUGUGACGUUCAUGAACGAUUCGUUCAAAAGAACUGAACUGCUGAGUGAACGACAUGAACUGAAUCACUCACGCUGUGUCACUCACUGGUGUUCUGCACCGACAGGGCGGGGCUCUGAAGAACUGACCGAUUCAGUGAACGAAUCUUUUGAACGAAUCCUUUUAAUGAACCGAUUCUAAAGAUUCAGUCAAAAGAACUGAUCUUCCAUCUCUACUCAAAUCUUUAACACAAAUACACUAUUGAGUAAAUGCUGAACAAUAUCUACUCUGGAGUGGAAAUCACCGCAUGGAAAGGACACCUGGACUUAUGGAGACGAAACGUCUCCAUAAGUCCAGUUGUCCUUUCAACGUAGAACUGGAAUUUAUAGAUGCUGCAUCCUCAGGAUAUUUGUCUGUAACAGUCUUAUGUUUUCUGUUUUUUAUCAUAGAACUCUACAUGAUUGACGUCUCUGACAGCCAAUGAGAGCGCAGCUUGCUGAUGCUAAAGGUGUUGAACAGGUGAGGAAAGAGCGUCCCCCCAUGACCAGAAAAACACUCACCACCCACCCACCCACACGAACACA